AACGCGAAGAACCUUACCAGCCCUUGACAUGCCCGGUAUGGGCCCGAGAGAUCGGGUUCUUCGGUUCGGCCGGCCGGGACACAGGUGCUGCAUGGCUGUCGUCAGCUCGUGUCGUGAGAUGUUGGGUUAAGUCCCGCAACGAGCGCAACCCUCAUCUGCAGUUGCCAGCGGGUUAUGCCGGGCACUCUGCAGAAACUGCCGGUGACAAGCCGGAGGAAGGCGGGGAUGACGUCAAGUCCUCAUGGCCCUUAUGGGCUGGGCUACACACGUGCUACAAUGGCGGUGACAGAGGGCGGCAACGGGGCGACCCGGCGCCAAUCUCGAAAAGCCGUCUCAGUUCGGAUUGCUCUCUGCAACUCGAGAGCAUGAAGUCGGAAUCGCUAGUAAUCGCGGAUCAGCACGCCGCGGUGAAUACGUUCCCGGGCCUUGGUACACACCGUAGAGAC
rnacentral:rRNA from 1 species